UGAUAGGUAUCAGCUUAAUGACAACCA
rnacentral:piRNA from 1 species